rnacentral:rRNA from 1 species
UGAAGCGGCAACAGCUCAAAUUUGAAAGCUGGCCCCCCCGGGGGUCCGCGUUGUAAUUUGUAGAGGAUGAUUCGGCGAGGGCUCCCGCCUAAGUCCCCUGGAACGGGGCGUCAUAGAGGGUGAGAAUCCCGUAUGCGGUGGGCUGCCUUAGCCACGUGAAUCUCCUUCGACGAGUCGAGUUGUUUGGGAAUGCAGCUCUAAAUGGGAGGUAAAUUUCUUCUAAAGCUAAAUACCGGCCAGAGACCGAUAGCGCACAAGUAGAGUGAUCGAAAGAUGAAAAGCACUUUGGAAAGAGAGUUAAAAAGUACGUGAAAUUGUUGAAAGGGAAGCGCUUGCAGCCAGACUUGUCCGCAGUUGCUCAGCCGGUCUCCUGACCGGCGCACUCUUCUGCGGCCAGGCCAGCAUCAGUUCGGGCGGUCGGAUAAAGGCCCCGGGAACGUAGCUCCUCUCGGGGAGUGUUAUAGCCCGGGGUGGAAUGCGGCCAGCCCGGACUGAGGAUCUCGCUUCGGCUAGGAUGCUGGCGUAAUGGCUGUAAGCGGCCCGUCUUGAAACACGGACCAAGGAGUCUAACAUCUAUGCGAGUGUUUGGGUGUCAAACCCAUGCGCGUAAUGAAAGUGAACGGAGGUGGGAACCCUCGCGGGUGCACCAUCGACCGAUCCUGAUGUCUUCGGAUGGAUUU